AAUACGUUCCCGGGUCUUGUACACACCGCCCGUCACACCAAGGGAGCGGGUUUUACCAGAAGUAGGUAGCUUAACCGCAAGGGGGGCGCUUACCACGGUAGGAUUCGUGACUGGGGUG
rnacentral:rRNA from 1 species